rnacentral:rRNA from 1 species
AAUAGAUACCCGGGUAGUCCACGCCGUAAACGAUGAGUGCUAGGUGUUAGGGGGGUUCCGCCCCUUAGUGCUGCAGCUAACGCAUUAAGCACUCCGCCUGGGGAGUACGGUCGCAAGACUGAAACUCAAAGGAAUUGACGGGGGCCCGCACAAGCGGUGGAGCAUGUGGUUUAAUUCGAAGCAACGCGAAGAACCUUACCAGGUCUUGACAUCCUCUGCCAACCCUAGAGAUAGGGCGUUCCCCUUCGGGGGACAGAGUGACAGGUGGUGCAUGGUCGUCGUCAGCUCGUGUCGUGAGAUGUUGGGUUAAGUCCCGCAACGAGCGCAACCCUUGAUCUUAGUUGCCAGCAUUCAGUUGGGCACUCUAAGGUGACUGCCGGUGACAAACCGGAGGAAGGUGGGGAUGACGUCAAAUCAUCAUGCCCCUUAUGACCUGGGCUACACACGUGCUACAAUGGAUGGUACAAAGGGCUGCAAGACCGCGAGGUCAAGCCAAUCCCAUAAAACCAUUCUCAGUUCGGAUUGUAGG